UGAGGAAUAUUGGUCAAUGGGCGAGAGCCUGAACCAGCCAAGUAGCGUGCAGGAUGACGGCCCUAUGGGUUGUAAACUGCUUUUAUAUGGGAAUAAAGUGAGGGACGUGUCCCUUAUUGCAUGUACCAUACGAAUAAGGACCAGCUAAUUCCGUGCCAGCAGCCGCGGUAAUACGGAAGGUCCAGGCGUUAUCCGGAUUUAUUGGGUUUAAAGGGAGCGUAGGCUGUUUGUUAAGCGUGUUGUGAAAUGUAAGAGCUCAACUUUUAGAUUGCAGCGCGAACUGGCAGACUUGAGUGCGCACAACGUAGGCGGAAUUCAUGGUGUAGCGGUGAAAUGCUUAGAUAUCAUGACGAACUCCGAUUGCGAAGGCAGCUUACGGGAGCGCAACUGACGCUAAAGCUCGAAGGUGCGGGUAUCGAACAGG
rnacentral:rRNA from 1 species